GAGUUUGAUCGUGGCUCAGAUUGAACGCUGGCGGCAGGCCUAACACAUGCAAGUCGAGCGGAUGACGGGAGCUUGCUCCUUGAUUCAGCGGCGGACGGGUGAGUAAUGCCUAGGAAUCUGCCUGGUAGUGGGGGACAACGUUUCGAAAGGAACGCUAAUACCGCAUACGUCCUACGGGAGAAAGCAGGGGGCCUUCGGGCCUUGCGCUAUCAGAUGAGCCUAGGUCGGAUUAGCUAGUUGGUGGGGUAAUGGCUCACCAAGGCGACGAUCCGUAACUGGUCUGAGAGGAUGAUCAGUCACACUGGAACUGAGACACGGUCCAGACUCCUACGGGAGGCAGCAGUGGGGAAUAUUGGACAAUGGGCGAAAGCCUGAUCCAGCCAUGCCGCGUGUGUGAAGAAGGUCUUCGGAUUGUAAAGCACUUUAAGUUGGGAGGAAGGGCAGUAAGUUAAUACCUUGCUGUUUGACGUUACCGACAGAAUAAGCACCGGCUAACUCUGUGCCAGCCGCCG
rnacentral:rRNA from 1 species